CUGCAGGGCAGUCCAUGCUCCGUGAUAAUAGUGGGAGGAGUCACAGAGCGGGGGGCACGAUGAAUUUACCUGGCAGCCGAGUAUGACUCUGAGGCUAAAUGUUUGGCAGCAUCGCACUGGAUUUCUGAUCUGUACAUAGGGAGACAUGAAGGCAAGAAGAAAACAAGGCCAUGGCUCUCUGGCGAAUCCUCUCACAACUUAUUGUGCCAAAGCAUAAGCUGUAGCAGAUCUCUUCAUCUUCCUGCAUAGUGAAGUCACUUCUGGGUUACACCCAAACUGGCUGCUGGAAGACCACGGAAAAGCACGCUGAAGCUGUAUGUGCAGGAGAUCUGUAGUGACAAAUUUACCUUCUACCACUGUGGAAUUUUGAGCCAUCACCUGUGGACCUCCAAGUGAAGAUAGAUAGCCUGGUUCUUCAUAUGCCAGUGAGUCCCUGGGCUCUCAUGUCAACUUUCAGUCAUCAAGUUAUGAGAAAUUGUGGAAGAUCCAAGGGAAACUGUGGGAGCACGAUUCUUUAGAUACACUGCUGACGAUACUGCUUCUGCCCAAAAGAAUAUGUUCAGGCUUGCAUCUUUAAACAAAAAUCGAGCUGUCUUAAUCCUGUUACAAUUUGCACGCUCAUUUACACCAUUUUGCUCUGGCGUGUAUGCAAUUGGCUGGUUGACCUUCAAUGCCAUGUUUCUUCAGUAAGGUCUUAACAUCUUUAUUUAGAUGUACUCCUCCAUUUUCAUAUCUCAAGACUUCCAAUAUGUGACCUGUUUGAGUUUCUACUGAUUUCUUGUAAUCGCCAGUCAUAUACAUCACUUCAUUCUUUUCUUUGAUUAAAUAAAUGUGUGUCAUU